AGGAAUGUUUCCUGGAUUGGCAGAUACUCCCGGAUCUAUCUGCUGUUUUUAAUGCUGGGUGUAGAUCAAAACAAGUGUGUAAUUUGAUAUCCACUACUUUUGGGAAGAGAACAUCUAAGAGAACUAUUGGGUGUUCUCAGUGCUGCAAUAGCCCGCCAAAUAGUACACUCAUUCCAUGUAAUGGUUACUUAUGCAAGCAAGCACCUGUUGCAGCAGGAAGUACUUGUGGUAUUUGUGACCAGGUUAGCAAUCCAAAUGAUUGUGCAGUGGACCAGACAUGUCAACCAAAUGAAGUCUGUAUAAUAACGACAGUGUUUACUGGUGGCGCUAUUAAACAUGAGCUCGGAUGUGAGCAGACACGUGUAUGCGAUUCAUUGUUAAAGGAGUACAAAAAUACUCACACAUCGACCAAUGGUAAGAGAGCAGAUCAUGGAGACCUUGUCCUCUGUUCGGCAUGCUGUGACGGACUUAGUUGUAACAAAGCUCAAUGUAGAGAGGUCCAAAAAAAUCAAACGUGCUUUGACUCUACUAUUUGUGGAUGACUAUGUAGUAAAAAGUGAAGAUGUCAAAUAAAUAAAAAUAUUUCAA